CCGGGAAACUCACCAGAUAAGACAGCUGAAUGAUAGUCGGGCUGAAGACUCUACUUGACUAGCUGAGAGGAGGUGCAUGGCCGUCGUCAGUUCGUACUGUGAAGCAUCCUGUUAAGUCAGGCAACGAGCGAGACCCACGCCAACAGUUGCCAGCUCGUCCUCCGGGAUGGUGGGGACACUGUUGGGACCGCCUCUGCUAAAGAGGAGGAAGGAAUGGGCAACGGUAGGUCAGCAUGCCCCGAAUUAUCUGGGCUACACGCGGGCUACAAUGGGUGGGACAAUGGGUAUCGACACCGAAAGGUGAAGGCAAUCUCCUAAACCCAUCCGUAGUUCGGAUUGUGGGCUGCAACUCGCCCACAUGAAGCUGGAAUCUGUAGUAAUCGUGUCUCAAAAUGGCACGGUGAAUAUGUCCCUGCUCCUU
rnacentral:rRNA from 1 species